rnacentral:tRNA from 1 species
GGCAUGUUCGUCUAGUGGCCCAGGACGCUGGCCUCUCACGCCGGUAACACGAGUUCAAAUCUCGUACAUGCUA